rnacentral:rRNA from 1 species
AACGAACGCUGGCGGCAUGCCUAACACAUGCAAGUCGAACGAGACCUUCGGGUCUAGUGGCGCACGGGUGCGUAACGCGUGGGAACCUGCCCUUAGGUUCGGAAUAACUCCCCGAAAGGGGUGCUAAUACCGGAUAAUGUCUUCGGACCAAAGAUUUAUCGCCUUUGGAUGGGCCCGCGUUGGAUUAGCUAGUUGGUAGGGUAAAAGCCUACCAAGGCGACGAUCCAUAGCUGGUCUGGGAGGAUGAUCAGCCACACUGGGACUGAGACACGGCCCAGACUCCUACGGGAGGCAGCAGUGGGGAAUAUUGGACAAUGGGCGAAAGCCUGAUCCAGCAAUGCCGCGUGAGUGAUGAAGGCCUUAGGGUUGUAAAGCUCUUUUACCCGGGAUGAUAAUGACAGUACCGGGAGAAUAAGCUCCGGCUAACUCCGU